AGGUCUGUGUGCUUUGCUUGGUCAGAGCCCAGACUCAUCCAAUGUAAUCAUCCUGUACUUUCUGAGUGAUAUCCUCCAAGAUGUAGUCAUGGAAUGUCUUUAAUGAGUCUCUCAGUAUGAGGAAGAUGUGCUAUCGGGUUGGGUCUGAUUAUGCCAGCUGCUUCCCUCAUGUUCUCAAAGAAAUAUUGGAAGGCUUGCUUGCCUUCUUCAAGCUUUGACUUACAGCACAACAAAGAAGGACUCAGAAAAUAUUUGUCUG